GACGUUUUUUCAGAAGCACAGUCUUUUUUACGUUUUUCAAAAGCACAACAAGGACAUGAAAUAGAUUUCCAAUCCUACAUCUACUACCAACAUCUCGUUUUUUCCAAAACCACAACAAAAAUAAAACGAAUUUCCAAACUCACACCGAACAUUAAUCUCAAACAAGACACUACCAUUUAAACCUUACAUCUACACAAAAAUAUCAUCUUUUAAUAAUAUACAUUAUAUAGAGAAUGAGAAAAUAUCCUUUCAGGUAAAAAUAGAGGUGGUGUGUGAUGGUAUGCGGAUCUAUCGAGUUCUCUCGUCUAUUUUUCAUCGUCUGUGUUGUUAAGUUGUGCUUGACUAUUUCAAAGUUAUGGGUUGAUGGGAGGAAAUAGGGUGGUGUAUCUUUCUUCUUCUCUUCUUAUAUUAGAAACAACACACAAACAGAACUCUCUUUUUAUUUUGCGAUCUUUUUUUCUGAAAAUCAAUAUGUCCCUUUGUUUUGAUUUUUUUCUUGCAAUAUAAGACUAAAAUGAAGAAAGGUUGUGUUCACGUAUAAAUUAGAUUCUGGACUUUACACUGGUUUGGCAACCCGAUCAAGCAAACUGAUACAAUUAAUUAAGAGAAUAAGGGGUUGGUCUUUUUUAAUUGAGUAUUUAAGAUGGUAAAAAAUUAAUACCAUUCUUAGAUUGAAAAAUAAUAAAAUUAAAAUAAAUGAAUCGAGAGAGUGGGAAAAUGCAGAAACGGGAAGAAGAGAAAUGCACUACACGGGAAACGUGGGAUGGAAAAGAAGCAGCACCACCCGAGUGUGUUAUUCUACCACAACGACUUGUAGGUUUUCAAGUUGAAAAUUGAGAAGACUUGACUUGUAUGGUCAAGGUGUUGUAGUGCUUCAACAGUCUAUAGAUUUCAUGCUCAAAGUUGAGAAGAUUGACUUGUAGGGUCAAGUGUUGUAAUUCAGGCUUUGAAUUAGUGGAUAAAUCCUUUUGUGUGAGGGGAUUUGACGUAGCUGUCACGUUGGUAGUAAACCAGUAUAAAAUUCGAAUCUUUUUCCCUAUGCCUUCAUACUUUGUUUUAUUGUUGUAUUUGAUCUGUUAUAUAUGUUUUAGUAUCCAGAAUCAUAUUUUUGAAAAGAAAUAUUUUUAUAGGCA